rnacentral:snRNA from 1 species
AUAAGAGUUGGGAGCAUAUUACAAGUGUGAUUUGAAUGACAUGGAGAAGAUUAGUAUGGCUCAUACCCAAGGGUGACACACAAAUCUACAUGCUCCGUAUUUUAUUUUU